rnacentral:sRNA from 1 species
UGAAAAAAUCAGAGAAAGAUACAAAUUCUAAAGUAAGCAAGGUAAAACCCAAAGGCAAAGUUCGAUGGACUGGUUCUCGGACACGUGGCAGAUGGAAAUAUUCCAGCAAUGAUGAAAGUGAAGGGUCUGACAGUGAAAAAUCAUCUGCAGCUUCAGAAGAGGAAGAAGAAAAGGAAAGUGAAGAAGCCAUCCUAGCAGAUGAUGAUGAACCGUGCAAAAAAUGUGGCCUUCCAAACCAUCCUGAGCUAAUUCUUCUGUGUGACUCUUGCGAUAGUGGAUACCAUACUGCCUGCCUUCGCCCUCCUCUGAUGAUCAUCCCAGAUGGAGAAUGGUUCUGCCCACCUUGCCAACAUAAACUGCUCUGUGAAAAAUUAGAGGAACAGUUGCAGGAUUUGGAUGUUGCCUUAAAGAAGAAAGAGCGUGCCGAACGAAGGUAUUUUUGUAUGUGUGUUAAUGUUUUGUUUGGGAAUACGAGAGCAGAAUUGUCUCACUGUAUGGAUAAAUGGAUCCAUCUAAAACAAGGAUUGGCAUACUGUGGCCUGUGGGCCAAAUCCAGCCUCCUUUUUGUUUUUGUACUGCCUGCUAAGAAUGUUUUUUAUGUUUUUAAAUGAUUGGGGGGAAA